GAUGAACGCUGGCGGCGUGCCUAAUACAUGCAAGUCGAGCGAAUGGAUUAAGAGCUUGCUCUUAUGAAGUUAGCGGCGGACGGGUGAGUAACACGUGGGUAACCUGCCCAUAAGACUGGGAUAACUCCGGGAAACCGGGGCUAAUACCGGAUAAUAUUUUGAACUGCAUGGUUCAAAAUUGAAAGGCGGCUUCGGCUGUCACUUAUGGAUGGACCCGGGUCGCAUUAGCUAGUUGGUGAGGUAACGGCUCACCAAGGCAACGAUGCGUAGCCGACCUGAGAGGGUGAUCGGCCACACUGGGACUGAGACACGGCCCAGACUCCUACGGGAGGCAGCAGUAGGGAAUCUUCCGCAAUGGACGAAAGUCUGACGGAGCAACGCCGCGUGAGUGAUGAAGGCUUUCGGGUCGUAGAACUCUGUUGUUAGGGAAGAACAAGUGCUAGUUGAAUAAGCUGGCACCUUGACGGUACCUAACCAGAAAGCCACGGCUAACUACGUGCCAGCAGCCGCCGUAA
rnacentral:rRNA from 1 species